CUGUGUCAGGGAGAGGGGGUGCAGAGAGUCAGGACAGGAUGAGGGAUAGCUCAGCUUCUUCAUCAGUGACAGAUCUGUACUGCACACCCCACAGCAGUAGGUCAGACCUCUUCCUUCCGAGUACAGCAGGAGACUUCAGCUUGAGUGCCAGCUUGUCAGCUUGUACACUGCUUAAUGAGGGUGCAGUGGAGCCUAUGCAGAUUGACGUAGACCCACAAGAGGAUCAGCAGAAUGCACCUGAUAUCAACUAUGUGGUGGAAAACCCAACUCUGGAUUUGGAGCAAUAUGCAUCUAGUUACAGUGGCCUGAUGCGGAUAGAGCGGUUGCAGUUCAUCGCUGACCACUGUCCACAGCUGCGGGUGGAGGCCCUCAAGAUGGCGCUGUCAUUUGUCCAAAGAACUUUCAACGUUGAUGUGUAUGAGGAAAUCCACCGAAAACUGUCAGAGGCCACCAGAGAGCUGCAGAACACCCCUGAUGCUGUCCCUGAUGGUGGGAUUGAGCCUCCUCCUCUUGAUACAGCGUGGGUUGAGGCCACACGGAAGAAAGCCCUUCUCAAACUGGAAAAGCUGGAUACAGAUCUGAAAAACUACAAAGGAAAUUCAAUUAAGGAGAGCAUCAGGAGAGGCCACGAUGACCUGGGUGAUCACUACCUUGACUGUGGGGACCUCAGCAAUGCCCUCAAGUGUUACUCACGAGCCCGUGAUUACUGUACCAGCGCUAAGCACGUCAUUAACAUGUGUCUCAAUGUCAUCAAGGUUAGUGUUUACCUUCAGAAUUGGUCCCACGUUCUGAGCUACGUAAGCAAGGCAGAGUCCACCCCAGAAAUUGCAGAGCAAAGAGGAGAGAGGGACAGCCAGACACAGGCGAUUCUCACCAAGCUAAAGUGUGCGGCAGGCUUAGCUGAACUAGCAGCUCGGAAAUACAAGCAGGCAGCAAAGUGCUUCUUGUUGGCCUCAUUUGACCACUGUGACUUCCCAGAGCUGUUAUCUCCUAGUAACGUGGCUGUGUAUGGUGGCCUCUGUGCAUUGGCCACCUUUGACCGUCAGGAACUGCAACGCAAUGUCAUCUCUAGCAGCUCCUUCAAACUGUUCUUGGAGCUGGAGCCUCAGGUGCGUGACAUCAUCUUCAAGUUUUAUGAAUCCAAAUAUGCUUCAUGCCUGAAGAUGCUGGAUGAGAUGAAAGAUAAUCUGCUGCUGGAUAUGUACCUGGCACCUCAUGUGAGGACACUCUACACGCAGAUCCGAAAUCGUGCCCUUAUCCAGUAUUUCAGCCCCUACGUAUCAGCAGACAUGCGCAAGAUGGCCACAGCAUUUAACACCACCGUGGCAGCACUGGAGGAUGAGCUGACCCAGCUGAUCCUGGAAGGACUGAUCAAUGCCAGAAUAGACUCUCACAGCAAAAUUCUUUAUGCUCGGGAUGUAGACCAGCGCAGCACCACCUUUGAAAAGUCCUUAUUAAUGGGCAAAGAGUUUCAGCGACGUGCCAAAGCCAUGAUCCUGCGGGCAGCAGUCCUGCGCAACCAGAUACACGUCAAGUCUCCUCCACGAGAAGGUAGCCAAGGCGAGCUUACUCCAGCUAACAGCCAGUCCCGGAUGAGCACCAACAUGUGAAAAUCUUCAUGAGACCCCGUUUACAGUUAACACUCCCACAGGAUAAAGCUUUAGAAGCCUUCUUGUUUGGUGUCUGGGUGCGGAUUGUGGGGAGGCCCAUGGCACAUGCUGUUUCAAUCUCCCAUUACAGCAGGAGAUGGCAGUGUGCAGUGCAGAAGUUCCACUGCAAUCUGAGGCAUCCUCGGCACAGAUUAAACACACAUUUGUUACCCUGGAAACAGAUACACACCAGUUAAGUCAGUGGAAAAAAAAAAAUCUUCACUGAGCUGCUUGUGGGAAGCACAACGCAAGGAUGCAUGCAGGGCUUCUGAAGACAACUGUCAUGGUCUGGGUUCCUGCAAACAGUGAUGGGGACAGUCAGUCUUCAGGCUCCUGAUAAACGAUAGGGAGACUGGGGGUUGAGGGAUGCAAAAAUUAAGACCUGCCUGCUGGGCAAAUGCUUUGUGCUUCUAGGUGAUGAUUACGAUCCCAGAACAACACUAUUCCACCACCUAGGAAUUUGUCCUGCUAACCAGGAAAUCCUCUUGAUUAACAUCAAAUACUUGUAGGAAAUUAAGAUACUUUGAAACCCUUUCAGAAAGCAUUUUUAUGCUGUUAUAAGUGGAGUUUGUCCUGUUUCUCUUCAGAAACUUGAUGUGAAAAAGUGCCACAGCCUCUUAUUUCCUGGCUUUAGCUGCCACUCCACCCAAAAUAAAUACUCAUCAUUCCAAGGAACUCAUUUCUUCUUUUUUUAAAUUCCUAAAAUUGCCCAAAUCAUGGCAAGUAAUAAUGUAAGGCAUGUCCUAUCCUCUGAAGGUGAGUGAAGAUGAGUCGUGGAUAUUUUGCAGCUCAGGAAUAGCAGACUGUGUGCACGUAGGAAGGGGAAAAAUGUAUCUGCCAGAUUUAAUAUCUGUAAAGCUCUUUUCUGGCUUUAUUGUUGGGGGAAGUUUGUGCAACAUGAUUUGAGUGCAAACAUUUCUAGAUGGUGCUACAGCAGAAAAAACUGACAAAGGUGCUCUUUGCAUUACGUUUAUUGACAAAAUAAUAAACUUAGGACCAGUUAGG